rnacentral:rRNA from 1 species
AGUAACGCGUAGGUAACCUACCUCAUAGCUGGGGAUAACUAUUGGAAACGAUAGCUAAUACCGCAUAAGAGAGACUAACGCAUGUUAGUAAUUUAAAAGGGGCAAUUGCUCCACUAUGAGAUGGACCUGCGUUGUAUUAGCUAGUUGGUGAGGUAAAGGCUCACCAAGGCGACGAUACAUAGCCGACCUGAGAGGGUGAUCGGCCACACUGGAACUGGGACACGGUCCAG